ACUUGUGUAUUUUUCUGAUCAAGUCAAUAAUUGUGAGAUAACACACAGUGUCUUUUCACAGACUGAAAGAAAACUGCUCACCAGCGUUCUUUGGCUGAGUACCCAGACAUUGCCUCCAAAUUCUGCUCAGUGAGAGAGAAGUGGACCCAAACACCUGCCUUCCUGGUGAGUGGAUGUUCCAACCUGGAUCAGCCGAGCUGUCACAGCUGAUCCAACCUGACUCACAGACAAUUUGAAUAAAAUCAUAUCUACAAACA